GGCCUUUUGAAUCCAUGCAGAGAUUUCGUCAGACACCAACUCACUAGGGAUGAUCAGACUUCUAUGAUAAGUGAAGUU
rnacentral:pre_miRNA from 1 species